rnacentral:rRNA from 1 species
UACGUAGGGCGCAAGCGUUAUCCGGAAUUAUUGGGGCGUAAAGAGCUCGUAGGCGGUCUGUCGCGUCGGAUGUGAAAACCCAGGGCUCAACCCUGGGCCUGCAUUCGAUACGGGCAGACUAGAGUUCGGUAGGGGAGACUGGAAUUCCUGGUGUAGCGGUGAAAUGCGCAGAUAUCAGGAGGAACACCGGUGGCGAAGGCGGGUCUCUGGGCCGAAACUGACGCUGAGGAGCGAAAGCGUGGGGAGCAAACAGG